rnacentral:misc_RNA from 1 species
CGAACAGCCAAUCGCACCACCGGAACGAUGUCGAGAAGUUGUUCACAAACGCCAUGUGGUGGAAGUCGUGGUGCUCCGCCCCAGACCAGAACGGGACGAUGUGCUGCAGCGACCACGGGAAGUCAUAGCCGGAGUGUGAAUCAAUGGCCUGGAAGAGACGGAGGGUGAUCCAAAUGUAGACGGUGACAAUGUGGAGGUCGUGGCGGAACGCGCAGUAGAG